AGCGGGACGCGUGGUUGGUUUAAUUCGGAGGCUACACGAAGUAACCUUACCAGGGUUUGACAUGCAAGUGGUAGGAAUCCGAAAGGUGACCGACCCCUUCGGGGAGCUUGCACAGGUGCUGCAUGGCUGUCGUCAGCUCGUGUCGUGAGAUGUUCGGUUAAGUCCGCUAACGAGCGCAACCCUCGUCGUGUGUUAUACGUGUCACACGAUACUGCCGGUAUCAAGCCGGAGGAAGGUGGGGAUGAUGUCAAGUCAGCAUGGCCUUUAUAUCCUGGGCUACACACACGCUACAAUGGCAGAUACAAUAGGUUGCGAAACCGCGAGGUGGAGCCAAUCCUCAAAGUCUGUCUCAGUUCAGAUUGUAGGCUGCAACUCGCCUGCAUGAAGUUGGAGUUGCUAGUAACCGCAGGUCAGCUAUACUGCGGUGAAUACGUUCCCGGGGCUU
rnacentral:rRNA from 1 species